GUGCUCACUUUGGCAGCACAGGUGCUAAAAUGGGAAGCACACAGAGAAGGUUGAUGUGGCCCCUGCACAAGGGUGACAUGCAAAUUCGUGAAGCGUUCUGUAUUUUU